GACUUCCGGGUGUGGCUGCCGCCCUUCCCCCACCCACGCCGGCGGGAGCCGCCCGUUCGCGCUGCCAGCAGCUUCCGCCUGCUACGGUCCUGGCAAGCACCUCGGGAUCCCAUUCCUUCACAGGGACCCUAGCCAGUUAAAGCUGAUACAUUCCUGUGGGUCAACUAUGCAACUAACUCAGAUUUUGAGCAAACAAAGCUCUCAAGUUGGUGAUCCUCAGGAGUCUCUGCAUUAGUUGGACAGCUCUUCUGGAAUUAUCUUCUAAGUCAACUGUGGGUUGGGUAGGUGGCUCUGCUGAUUUUUCGCUGGACUUCCACAUUUGGGACGAGUUGGCUGUCAUCAGCUCUAGAAAGGGUGUGGCCGUUUUACAUUGGCUGUUUUCCUCACAUUCCUCAAGCAGGUGGCUGUAGCUACCUUCUGCAUAUGGAUAUCCAGUUUUCCCAGCACCACUUAUUAAAGAGACUGUCUUUUCUGCAGUGUAUAUUCUUGGCACCGUUGUUGAAAAUGAAUUCAUUGUAGGUGUGUGGGUUUGUUUCUGGGUUCUCUAUUCUGUUCAACUUGUCUAUGUGUCUGUUUUUAUGCCAGUACCGUGUCAUUUUAGUUACCAGAGCUCUGCAGUAUAAUUUGAAACCAGGUCAUGUGAUUCCUCCAGUUUUGUGGUAUUAGGAUAGGUUUGGCUAUUCUGAGUCUUUUGUGGUUCCAUAUAAAUUUUAGAAUUUUUUUUUUCUAUUUCUGUGAAGAAUGUCAUUGGUAUUUUGAUAGGGAUUGCGUUGAAUCUGUAGAUUGCUUUGGGUAGUAUGGACAUUUUAACAAUAUUCAUUCUUCUAAUCCAUGAACAUGGAAUACCUUUCCAUUUUUUGGUGUCCAUUUCAAUUUCUUUCAUCAGUCUUAUACUUUUCAUUAUAGAGAUCUUUCACUUCUUGGAUUAACUCCUAUGUAUUUAAUUUUACUUGUAGCUAUUGUAAAUGGGAUUACUUUUUUUUUUUUUUUUGACGGAGUUUCACCCUUGGCAUCCAGGCUAGUGUGCAAUGGCGCAACCUCAGCUCACUGCAACCUCCACCUCCCAGGUUCAAGCAAUUCUCCUGCCUCAGCCUCCUGAGUAGCUGGAAUUACAGGUGCCCGCCACCACACCCGGCUAAUUUUUGUAUUUUUAGUAGAGACAGGGUUUCACCACGUUGGUCAGGCUGGUCUUGAACUCCUGACCUCAGAUGAUCUGCCCACCUCGACCUCCCAAAGUGCUGGGAUUACAGGCAUGAGCCACCACUUCCAGCAAGGGAUUACUUUUUUAAUCUCUUUUUCAGAUUUUUCACUGUUGGCAUAUAGAAAUCCUACUAAUUUUUGUAUGUUGAUUUUGUAUCCUGGAACUUUACUGAAUCUGUUUAUAAUUUGUGUAUUUGUUUAUAGUAGUUUUUUGGUGGACUCUUUCAGUUUUUCCAAAUAUAAGAUCAUAUCAUUGGCAAACAAGGACAGUUUGAUUUCUUCUAUUCCAAUUUGGAUGCCUUUAUUUCUUUCUGUUGUCUGAUUGCUCUAGUUAGGACUUCCAGUACUAUGUUGAAUAACAGUGAUGAAAGUGGGCAUCCUUGCCAUGUUCCAGAUCUUAGAAAAGAGGCUUUCAGUUUUUCACCAUUCAGUUUGAUACUAGCUGUGGCAGCUUCCAUGAGAAUCACGCAGUUUGAAGAAGCAUUUCACUGAAAAAUAGGGAUUGCUGUUCUGGAAAGACAAAACAAUUGUCUACAAUUCUAAAGAAGAAGUGAACACAAUAAUUAAAUCAAUGUUAUUCUGGGUCUAAAGCUUAUAUUCUUAAUUAC
ensembl:lncRNA CCDC18-AS1 CCDC18 antisense RNA 1